rnacentral:rRNA from 1 species
UACGUAGGGGGCAAGCGUUGUCCGGAAUCAUUGGGCGUAAAGCGUGCGUAGGCGGUUUGUUAAGUCUGUCGUGAAAGCCCUGGGCUCAACCUGGGAAUUGCGAUGGAUACUGGCAAGCUAGAGUACGGUAGAGGAUGGUGGAAUUCCCGGUGUAGCGGUGAAAUGCGUAGAGAUCGGGAGGAACACCCGUGGCGAAGGCGGCCAUCUGGACCAGUACUGGCGCUGAGGCACGAAAGCGUGGGGAGCAAACAGG